UAUAUAACUGAUAUACUUCACAGAACCU
rnacentral:piRNA from 1 species